AGACAGCUCGUUGCCUCAUUUACAAAAAGGCUACCCGGGCCAGCGGCUAAAGUACUACUUUCUCCAUCCCAGCUGCUUCACUUCCUCCUCCUGCACUGCUCCAUCCCCCAUAACCACUGUUGAGGAAGAACUAGAUCUGGCGUCCGAGUGUUGAGACGACGACGAGAUCAUCUGCGCCCCUGCAGAUAGUGCUCAAGGGCAUUGAGCAUGGAACCGCCGGAUCGUCCAUGCAAGAGGAAUCUCCCAUGUGGGGAAGGUGAUGGCGAUGGAAAGAAGAAAAAGCCAAGAUCCGUCGGACCUAGCGAAGGAUCCAUCGAUGGAGCGCGUGCUGGAGGCGAGGGCACUUCUGCAGCCACCCCCAAUGCCUCAAAACAAAUCUUGCAGGGAGGAGCUGUUGCCGUUUGAGAGUCGCCCAACGAUGCUACAAGGAAAAGGAGGGGAGAGCUGGUCAAUGACAACAACCAAAGGUCAUCGAGACGGCGUGUAUCUCGGCGUACACUUGUGUUGGUUCAUGGGUAUCCACACCAUGCCGGUCAAGUAAUACCAUUUGUGCCGCCGGGCCUGCUAGCCGAAUCGACAGUACUUCAUGGUAGAGUUGUAAGGUGUACUUGGAGCUGUCAGCAUGUCCUCCGACUAGGGUUGACUCGCUACCCAAUAGUGCAUAGAACCGGCAUGGCCAGCUUGUUGACUGCUGCAUGGACGGGGGAGGCCGAUAGAAGGUUCUAUGCAUGGCUGCUUAGUAGAUUUAGGUGGCAAGACAUGAGAUUCACUUUCCCUGAUGGCCAGCAUAGAUAUUUCACUCCAAGAUCCAUUGUUAGAACAUUGGGUCUGAGUAACAGUGGCCGCCAAGUCAGUAUGAUAAAGUUGCCUCCAAAACGUAGGCAAAAUUUGGCACUCCAUAUUAGAACAAUCCUAGGAAUAGAGACUAAGAAGCAUGCCAGGGAUGGGGGUUUGACAAUUCGAGCCGUAAGCAACGCUAUCAACAGAAUGAUCGCUUUAGGAGAUCUCUGUUAUAGAGAAAGAGCUUUUGAGAUGGCUUUCUCACUGUUAGCGGCUGGUACAUGUGUUGGUCCUAAGCAGUCGUACACGUCGAUACCUUAGGAGAUGUUUGCUUGUGUGCUCUGCGCUGAGGGGACUGGUGAGUAUGAUCUAGCAGAAUGGACAUUUGAGAUCAUCAGAGCAGCUGCGAAGAAACUACAAAAAGAUUUGGCGGCCGGUGUGAGAACUCUGAUUGUUGGCGGCAGCCAUUUGGCACUCAUUCCAUGGUUCUUCGACUAGAUGAACUUCGGUGCAGAUAACGUGGAGCCGCACACCGUCCCCCGCAUAAGCGUUUACACCGGGGAGAUAUACAUGAGGCUGAUAUAUCUCACAAGGGAAUACCCCUCUGUUUUUAAUACCAAGUCUUAUGAUGAGUUCAACCCGCUAGAUGAUGUGUGGCACGGGGUGGUGGGCGAGCCUAGUGGGAUCCUGCGACAUCCAGAUCAACUGGAAGCGCCACGGGUAGUUUAGGAUAUCAUUGCAGCAAACCAACAGGCUGCCAUGGACUGUUCCAUAGAUGUAGGCGAUGAGGAUCCCAGGGUUGAAUGCGAGGACGAUGAGAAGCAUAGGGAACGCACAACUGCUAAAGGUAAAUGGGCCGCAGAAGAGAGUUCAGAAAGCUCAAGCAGCGACAGUGAUGAGGAACCAAUUGACCCUAGUGUGCGACUAGGCAGAAGGUUGGAACGAGCUGACAUAAGAGGAGAAAACAUUGAUCCACCAAAUCCCAAUGCCAGCUUAAGAAUCAGCAAUGAUGUCUGGAAUGCCCGUGUUACACGCAAUUAUUGACAAACAAAAUUGCAUUAACCAUUAUCAAAACCGAGAAGAAAUUGUGAUAUGGAGCUUCAACAUGAUGCUGUUGCCAUGCAGGGCCGCGCAGAAUGAACCGGAUGCGGGCAUGUCUGCAGCCUAGAAUUGGUGAUCAAGACGCUGGGGGGAGUGCAGCAAGGGGAACUGCUAGAGAUCCAUCUAUGCUACGUAGCAGGGGAGAGAGCCUGAGAGCAGAGCUGACAAAACUUGAGGCCCAGGGAAAAGCAGACCUAGAAUAUGCGCAAAUCCAUGGAACUUUCCCAGAUAGGGAAGGAACUUGUAAAGAUGAUGCAGUGAUUGUUGACGAG